rnacentral:rRNA from 1 species
ACUUUGAAAAGAGAGUCAAAAAGACCGCAAAACCGUUAGGAGGGAAACGAAUGCAGCUGAAGUAGCUCCCUUUCAGGCUCAGGAAGUGUCAAAUCUGCUUGCUGGCCGGUGGAAGCCGCAAGGCUCCAGCGGUUGGACGGCUGGUUGACUGCUCUGCACUCCUGGGGGGAGCUGGCCAACAACAGUUGCCUCUGGCUCACGAGGGUGUUUGGGUAGGUAGCCACCUCGUCUCGAGGUGGAACUUAUAGCCAUCCAUCUGGCAGUCUGGAGACGACUGAGGAGAGAUGUGAACUUUCACACUUGCAGUACAGGCCCUUCUGGGCCGGGCCGCCUCUUUCCGUUUGGGUACCGCUCCGGGGACUGCUCGCAGUGUCCGCUGACGAAUGCCUGCUUGGUGGGGGGAAUGGUCACGCCUUGUGCUGCAGUUGUUGGUGUCCAAAUGGCUGCAUCCGACCCGUCUUGAAACACGGACCAAGGAGUGCAACAUGCGUGCGAGUCUUGGGGUGGAAAACCCAUCGGCACAAUGAAGGUGAAGGCAGAUUUUGGUCUGCUCAGGCAGGAGCCUCCCCAGGGGGGCACACUGUCGACCGAUCCCAGGCUACGCUGUGGUGGGAUUUGAGUAAGAGCGUGCCUGUUGCGACCCGAAAGAUGGUGAACUAUGCCUGAAUAGGGUGAAGCCAGAGGAAACUCUGGUGGAAGCUCGUAGCGAUUCUGACGUGCAAAUCGAUCGUCAAAUUUGGGUAUAGGGGCGAAAGACUAAUCGAACCAUCUAGUAGCUGGUUCCCUCCGAAGUUUCC